CCUACUUUUAUAGCUGACAUAAAACCGACCGACCAGUGGCGCAUCAUUUGUAUGAAUGCACAUUCGUCAUAAUGCACCGAUUAAAGUUGUACAAUGUACACGACAACUGACAAGAAAUUUGUGAAUGCCUGAAAUUACGAAAAUUAGGACGUGGUUCUAAUUUGCUUGCCUUUGUUGCCAAAUUAACCUCCUCAAGUAAUUAAUUUAGCUGCUAUGAAAAUAGGCGUGCCAUAAUUUCCUAAAUAAGUGCUAUUGCCAGAAUAUGGGCAUGCUAAUAAGCACAACUCUACUAAUUAUGCGACUUGCUGACUAACAGAAGAUUAAAUUUCAGCAAAAUAACACUUCCAGUUAAUCCUAAGCAAGAUGAACCUGGUCAGAUUUCAAUUCGUCCUUCGGAGGACCAUACGUAAAGCAUGUCAUCCAUUUGAGGAAUGUCAAGAAAUUCCAUCAUUUACAUACAUUAUUAAUUCCUGUCGGUUUACGGCAUGCAUCCAAGUAAGUUGUGACAGGUCAAAAUCUUUCAUGUUCUUAAUGUACGGGCCCUUGCAUGGCUCGAAUGCGUGUAAAUGAUAAGUUUAUUUCUUUGAAGUAAUCUUGGUCCAGUUGCUUCCCGGUUCAGUCCAGGAGUAGACUUAUUUUAUUAGACUUAUUUUUAGAAUAAUUUAUUCAUCUGCACAUUUCUCGCCAUCGAAAGGUCAAACAUUCCCCGUUACGAAUAUUCACGUCAAAUUUGUACUUUUGGAAAUUCAACUGUAAUCUCAAUUUUUACCUUUGACGGGUUGAGGAUUAAUGUGAAGGAUUCUCUCAUUGGUUUUCAAACCCUUACUCUUCCCAAAUACAUAUCUACUCCCACCCACCAUGAUUUCAUACUACUUCCCCCACGGCGUGUCGUACAUCGAAGGUCACAAAACCCGCACCGAAUCCAUUACUGCUCACUUGACCCCGUCCAAUCCCCGUGCCGGCACCGGAGUCACCAACAUGAUGCACACAUACGCCGAAAAGCUCGGAAAACCAGGUGACAUCGGGGCUCAAAUCUUAUCAAAAACUUUGGGCGGAUCUGGCUACACGCGAGCCAACAUAUUCCCCCUGUCACCCAAAACGGACGUAACGCCAUGGCGCCGAGAUGAGGCCGCGAUUCUAACCUGCCUCCAAGAACAAUGCGACAAUGGCGACAUGCCACCACACCCUCUCCUCUACAAGGUAACCCUCGAAUAUGACGACUAUUUGGAUACCCGCCCGACCAGAAUUUACUGGGACAGUUAUUUCAUCCCAGGAAAUGCCAAACUAUACAACGUGGACACCUUGAGAGGUGCCAAUUGUCACGGCAUGAUUGAAAAUAAGUGAAUUUGUUUAAUGAAAUUUUCUAAAUUUAUUAACCAUUUUAUGUAUAAAUUAUAAUUCGCAUGUCCAAGGAGUUGCAGUUUUUGAUAGAAAUAAUCUGGAUUUCGUGCAGAAAUUAACUUACUGCGUAUUUGACAGGGUAUAAAAUUUAAAAUUUACUCACGUAUUUACGUGUUAGCAAGUACCUUAAAUGUACAUAGGUAUGUAUGUACAUAUUUACAUACGUAUGAGCACGUUGUCGUAUGCAUGUACAUACAUAAAUAUGCACGCUUACACAUUUACACAUUCGGAUUAGUCAAACUCAAAGAACUUUGUGUCUCACAUUACAUAUCACGUUUUGGUGAUUAACUAAAUAAAUUGGUUUAAGGAAAACUUCCACUCUUCCUUAAACACAUUACACUUUAAAAAAUCAGAGAAUAAGGCAUUUACCAGGCGGAAACUAGAUUUUACUAUACCGCCAUGGUAACCUUCAUUAGUUACCUAGUGAUUAAUGAGCGCUUGUAACUAAUCAGGGGUAAAAAACAUUACUAGCGUAAUAAUAAGUUUACUAUCAGUUUAUUACCAUAUCAGUACUAAUAGAGUCACAUAGAUAUGUAUAGUCACCGCUUGGUAAUUAUCGUUACCUGAUUUUUUAGAGUAGAAAUGCGACGCGUUAUGUAAUGUACACACACUGAUCCUGACUGUAUGAGCAACACAUUUCGAAAAUAAAUAAACUAAUCCGAGGUGAUCAUAGCUUUUUCUUAGGAUCAAAGAGAUUAAACUUGUCCAGAAAUAAAUACAACGAAAUCGACAACCUUCUUCUUCCAAUAUGUCCAAUAACAAUAAAAUUAAUAUCCUUGCUUAAAGCGAAUUUUGUAAUUGCAAAUAUUUAUGCAUAUAAUUCAUUGAUGUGGCUAGGUUUAGUGGUUUGGUUGCAAGGUGGAUGAAAGGAAAAUCGUUCCUACAAAUAUCUGUCUCCACUUUUCGUGUACCCUGAGACACCAGAUAUUAGGAUAUUUUUCCGAGGCUGGUGAAUUUAUUUGGCUAAUCUAUUUUGUACAUAACUGAGAAUUGCAAAAAUUUACAAAUUUUAUUCGUUAUUGAUUUCGAGAGAAAUGAUUUACUGGACAAAGUUGCCCAUUAUUUUAACGACUUGCAGUCUCAUUUCCUCCUAUGAUUCGAUCAAACUUAAAUUACAUACUUAAAUUUCAGUGAUAUUUUGCAGUACGACAUUGAAAAUUUAAAAGUUUUGGAUACUUUUGUUGAAGCAGAUUUAAUAAAUUGUGGAAAAACCGAACUAAUCUCCAAGUCGAAUAUGGUAAAUGCAGAAUACGACUACUUGAGUAGAGCCCAUCCUAGUAAAACUUUUUAAGCAAAUCUUAAAGGCAAAUCAGUAAGGUUGGGUAUUUCGUCAUGCGGGGUCUUCAAAAGUCCCUCUUUAUUAUAAAUUCCUUAUCGAAGCUGGGGUUUAUGCAAGGCUUGAGGAAGAAAUUAGAGGUAGAAAAGUAAGGGAUAGAAUUUGAUCUAAAAAAGUUAGUGGUAAAUUAUUGCAUCAAGGAAUGAAUAUGAGGGAACGUGUUACCAGUUUAUUUUAUAUUUGUCUUGUAGUAGUGUAGCUGUCAUUUGUAUGCUUUCUAGUUGAAUGUCGGGUUGUAAUUUUAACACUGGUCAGAGUGAUAUGUUGGAAGAUGCAAAAAAUUAUGAAUGCUAGAAACAAAGCAGCAAGUUAUUUCAUGUUGAUGGGGACGAAGAUUUUAAAAUGUAAUAUUAAAUAAAACUAUAUAAACAAGUGUGGGUAGUGAGAUCUAAAUGCCGUGAUUAAUAGAUUUAUGAAUCACAAUUACAUAAAAUCAGACAGAUUCGAGCAGAAAUUUGACUGUGUGAAAUUUAUUUAAUACUUAUUUGUUACAACCUGAUAAGUCGUAAACAUGAUUUGCUCAAUUAUAGACUUGUAACGAUCUUUCCAUUCUGAAAAGCUUCUGAUUUGGAACUACGGUAGCGUUUCUUUAUAUAUUUCCCCUUGACGGCUGGUCUGAUUAAAAAACGAAUUCCAAGAAAAAUCAAAGCUCGACCCUCCACGACAAAUGUAAUUUCUCCAAUUGCACAAAAAAUAGCAAAAAGUGCAAAGACGUGUUUCACAGUAUUUAAAGACACCGGGUUCGCCUCGUUAAAUACGUCAACCUCCUCCCUCGCAUUAGACAUCGCCAUCGCGAUAAGCUUCCUCCUUGUCGCUGAACCCGUUCCUUGCGCAUCCAUGAAUUCCAACUGUUUCCCCAACACUUCUAAGUUCUCAAACCGCUUAAAAAUCCCGCUUUCCACCAGCCCUCCAAAAACGUUGUAGAUCUUACCCUGAACAAAAUUUGGUUCCCCAAAGGUCAAAAUAGUUUCAUGAAAAGGAGUAUCGACCAGCCUCUUCACGACGUACCGUCCCCCCAGAACUUUCAUCAUGUCGGAAUAUAUUCGCAAUAUAGUGAGUGUGUCUGCCACCGCGAAUGUGUCCACGUUUUCCAGCCACCUAUUCAUUUGUACCGGUAAAGCCCCAGACUUCGAAACGGCUUGGAAAAAAACAUUGUCCAAUUCCGCAAUACAACUCAGCCUGGCAUUAAACUUGGUCAGGAUACCGGCAAACUUAAAAUCGAUAUUUGGCAAUAUUUCCAGAAUGAUUUUAUCACUUAGAGCACAUGGCAACUGUGUCCAUGGUGUGUCACGAUUCUUCACCACCUUAAGAUACGAUACGAUCGGAAUGCUUGAGUCGACCAGGGCGGAAAAACUGUCCGGCACGUGGGGCGUACUUUGAACCGUCAAAGCAGCGAAGAUGUACCCUUUGUACAAAUUCUCCAUGAGGAUGUAACUCCCGAAAAAGGAGAACGUCAGAAAUGAAAGAGCGGGCAGUCUUUUAUCGAAAAUUUUGACCAGCCCAGGUCCAAACUGACCGAGAAGGAGGGAAACUAUGUUAAUAAAUUGGGUAAGAAUGGAUACGAAUUGAUUCGCGCGAGUGUGUCCCUUAUUCCCCCUCGAUUUGAAUAGAGAGAUUCCGACACAGACAAAAAGUGUAAGUAACCACGUGGUCAAAUCAAAAGGGGAAAAUAACGAGGCAAAACUGCCCCCAAUUAUGGUCCGGGUUUGAGUCGUUACUUGAAAGAAGAAUUUUUCAAAUUGGACGCGAUAAAUGGCAAACUUAUCCAACUCGUCUAAAUUGUAAGUUAACCCUACGUCAAACAUGAUCGAACCAAUGACAUCUUCAUAUCGAGCAAUUCUAGAGGUAUGCACGGUCGUCAAGUUGUAUUUAUGGGAAAGGAUUGAAUACAGACAGAAUCUUGGGAUUCCGAGUUUUCCCCGGGUAGUUAGAAGAACACACUCGACAGGUUUUUGAUCGUCUUUCCAAAUGUCGAGUCCCAUAUCUUGGAUGAUUUUGGGAUGUCUCAUAUCGUUAAAAUAGGAUUGUCUCGCGUUGUCGAGAAUAUUUGGGGAUAAUUCUUCUCCUAUCUUGAUUGUGAGGUAGGCUUGGGAGUGAAGUCCACUGAAUGGGAUGUACACUCGAUCCGGUUGAUGAUUGGAGUGUAUAAUUGUUAACCAGGUAUCCCAAUUCUUUACGUGAUGAACAAAUUUUCUUGAAUUUUGAACAUGCACAAAGAUAUAUUUUGGUGUUAGUGGUUUAACCAAGGAACACAAUUUCUCGAAGUCUUCUAGAGAGUUGUCCGAUGCGUCCAUUAUGGCAACGAAUUUGUGAGAAGUCCGUCCAAAAUGCAGAUUUUGGGGUGAAUCAUGAUUGUUGAGGAGAAUAUGUGUAUGCUGUAGCCUUCGAAAAAAUCCGAUAUCGACCAGAAAGUGUCGGCCGACGCGAAUAGAAAUAAUACUAUGAAAACGACAGACAAAACCGACAUCCCUCUAGAUUUCCUGCCAGGGUAAAAAUAUAUGAAUUUUGGUACUGAUAUAUGAGAAAAGAAUAUUAAAAGCGUGGAAUAUAUUUACUUACAUCACGUAAACUUUAUCUAUCCUGCACUAACAAAUCCGUUAGAGUCGUAUACUGCCUCCACACAAGGAUUAGUUUGGUAAUAAUUUCUUACUAGAUUGGUAAUAGUUUGUUUCUUGAUAAAGUUUUUAUAAUACAUAUACUAAACUAAAAAAUGUAAUAUUCUUUAUUACCAUGUGUGUAUGUAGAGUCAUACAUGUUUAUAUUACUCAGACCAGUUAUGAUUUACCUAAUACUAGUGAUACAGUACCUAAGGUGUGGCUUGGUAAGUAACAAAUUUUGACAUGUGAGAAUUAUUUUAUUAGCAAAAAAACUUUCGGUUCGUCCAGUGUGUUAUUUAUGUACAUAGAUUUGCAGAUAUGUUGACCAUUUAGUCGUAAUGAGAUUUUAUGUUUCGGAAAUGAGAAUGCUUAAGUGCUGAUAAAUAUGUAUACCCGUAUUCUGAGUACUACAGGAAAUUAUUUAGUUUCCCCUCCCAUUGCCAAGACAGCAUGGCAAUUCACUAAUAAUUCGAUGUGACGCAUGCAUAUAUGUUUAAUAUUUCAUGCUAUAACUAAUGUCCGUUCAGAAAAAUAAAGACAAGAUCUGGCAGAGUUUUUUCAGAUA